rnacentral:rRNA from 1 species
AGAUGGCGACCGGCGCACGGGUGAGUAACACGUAUCCAACCUGCCGAUAACUCGGGGAUAGCCUUUCGAAAGAAAGAUUAAUACCCGAUGGUAUAAUCAGACCGCAUGGUUUGAUUGUUAAAGAAUUUCGGUUAUCGAUGGGGAUGCGUUCCAUUAGGCAGUUGGUGAGGUAACGGCUCACCAAACCUUCGAUGGAUAGGGGUUCUGAGAGGAAGGUCCCCCACAUUGGAACUGAGACACGGUCCAA